rnacentral:rRNA from 1 species
UAUCUCUGUAGAGUCUGCAUAUCAAUAAGCGGAGGAAAAGAAACUAACUAGGAUUCCCUCAGUAACGGCGAGUGAAGCGGGAAGAGCUCAAAUUUGAAAUCUUCAAGGUUUUACCUUGACGAAUUGUAGUUUAAAGAAGUGUUUUCUGUUGGUGUUUUGGUAAAAGUUCUUUGGAAUAGGACAUCAUAGAGGGUGAGAAUCCCGUAUUUGACCAUUAUUUCCAGCUUUGUGGUACACUUUCAAAGAGUCGGAUUGUUUGGGAAUGCAGUCCAAAAUGGGUGGUAAAUUUCAUCUAAAGCUAAAUACUGGCGAGAGACCGAUAGCGAACAAGUACCGUGAGGGAAAGAUGAAAAGAACUUUGAAAAGAGAGUUAAACAGUACGUGAAAUUGUCAAAAGGGAAGCGUUUGACACCAGUGUUGUUUUCUCGAAAAUCAAUUAAAAAAGGCAGGAUUUUGUGUUGUAUUGACUUUAUCAGCUUUCUGCACUCUUUUCUUGUCUUUUUUAAUGCACCUUUCGUUUAACAAGUCAACAUCAAUUUCUUUUGUUGUAAAAGGGUCAUUGGAAGGUGGCUUUCUUUUCGGAGAAAGUGUUUAUAGCCUUUGGCCUCUGCAAUCGGAGAGAUUGAGGUCUGCAGCGUAGAUCCUUCGGGGUUAGAUACAUUUGUGCUAAGUUAUAGCCUUUCAUAGACAACUUGUUGACUAUGAUCAGUCAUGUAGCUUACUCGCUUAUGCUAUUUUACCUACGCUUAGGAUGUUGAGUCAUCACACAUCUCU